GCCCUUGUAGUUCAACGGAUAGAACGGAAGUUUCCUAAACUUUUGAUAAGGGUUCGAUUCCCUUCGGGGGUA
rnacentral:tRNA from 1 species